UACAGAGGGUGCGAGCGUUAAUCGGAAUUACUGGGCGUAAAGCGCGCGUAGGCGGCUUUGCAAGUCGGGUGUGAAAUCCCCAGGCUUAACCUGGGAACUGCAUUCGAGACUGCAUUGCUAGAGUAUGGGAGAGGGAAGUGGAAUUCCCGGUGUAGUGGUGAAAUGCGUAGAUAUCGGGAGGAACACCAGUGGCGAAGGCGACUUCCUGGCCUGUUCUUGACGCUGAGGCGCGAAAGCUAGGGGAGCAAACGGG
rnacentral:rRNA from 1 species